rnacentral:tRNA from 1 species
UCCCUGGUGGCUCAGUCGGUAGAGAAUCUGCCUGCCAUGUGGGAGACCCAGGUUUGAUCCCUGGAUCGGGAA